ACAUAAAUGCUGCAGGGCAAAUAGCGGAUGUCUAAAGGUCACCGAUCGAAAGGUGUAGGCGAUGCAGAGUGGCAAAAGAAGCCAACAAAAUAUGUGGAGAGGAAGGGAGAUCCAGGCCGGGGGAAGACCGUGGAAAAGGAAUCGGAGGCGACAGAGUUGAAAUGGAGGCCCAGAGAGGAAGCCGGCGCAGUAAGACUGAACUGCCACCAGGUGGCGAUAGAGAAACGCGGCCGCCCAGAAUCACCAUUUGGGAGCGAAGCAGCGCCGCCUGGUGGCUACAGCCCGGGCCUGCGCGUCUGAAGAAGCUGCAUCCUUAAUCCAGCCCCUUCCACGUCUUUGCUGGGUGACCUUAGGACCAAGGAAGGAGCCUGAGCCCCAGGUGAUUCAUGGGAGACCCGGCCCCCUGGCCCAUCCCUGCCUCUCUAAGGACAUCUUGGUGUGGACAGGACUGGACAGAAUGGAAGCCACAACGCAGCCCCGAACCGGACCUCCAGGGCCCACGGACAGUGGAGGAAGGACCAGCUACUCACCGGCUGCCAUCGACACUGAUAAAUUGCGCCGGCCCUACUGAGAGGAAAUUUGUUGACACGAGGCUGCUGUCCCCUGGCCACCCCCUUCCCGCCCCCUAGCCUGCAACUGUAUCCCCUCCUUCCAGACAGUGCCAUUUCUUUUGGGGGGUUAAGGGUCAAACACUGCAUCAUGGGUGCCAAAUCAAUCCCUUGCAACUCCAGGAGGGUAUGGAGGUGUGUGCAUGUGUGUGUGCCUCAUGCGUGAGAGCGAGGGCCGGGACCAGAGCAGGGUCAGAGGGGCCACCCCUCUUGGGCUGGGUAAAGGGUUAUGGAAACAGGGGUCUAGAGUUUGGGGCCGGUACUCCGUGGGCGGAUCCGAGCGGGUGUGAAGUCGCACUGGGGCCCUUAAUUCUAUAGUCAGUGCGACAUCCUCCUAGCCUGUUCUGCCCUGUGGGAGUUUCCUGCCUAACUCAGACUUCAAGAGUACAGACUCCCUUUCCCGUCCAGGGGGGUGCCCCUGGGGGAGCGGGGUUAGGGACAGGUUCAGUCAAGGAUGUGCAUGUGUCUGUCUGCAUGUAUGUAUGUGUGACUACCCUGUGUCUUCCAAUCCUCCUGGAUGAGCAGAAAGAGGGGUGGAGAGAACUAACAGCAAAUGCUAGAGUGGGAAGAUGCAAAGUGGUUUCCCCCAUCCUACCAACAGAAAUGGCACGGUCUGGCCCCCUUCUCUCCCCUUCCUCUCCUUCUCUCAUCUCUGUCCCCUUGGCAGCCUGGGAUCUGUAAGCCCAAAUGUCUCUGUUUGAAAUAAAACGUAUACAUUCUUCAUCA